GAAGAUCUGUCACCUUUAUACUGUGGGGCAGGAGGAGGACUGCAUUGGCAGCCAUGUUGGGCCACAUGUGGGCCAUGGGCUGCUGUUGGACAUGCCCGUUGUAGCUGAUGAUGCUACAGCAGUAUUACAACAUUAUAGGAUAAAACUCUAUGAAGAGAGUAGAGUCCAUCUCCUCAGUAAGACAGAAAUGCAUUUGUCCACCCUCGAAUGCAUGGAUAAGGAACAUAAUAAGCAUUGCAUAACAUUUUACCAAGUGUUAUCUGGAAAUCCAGGAUGGAAACUUGUUGGAAGAUAACAAGAGUGAAUAGGCUGCAGCGUGGAUAUCAGAUGUGGUCCUCCACUGCCUGCAGAGGAAUCCUGACCCAGUGCCUAGAGUACCUCUCUGUCUUUCUUCUCUGACCUUGGUUUCUGCAGAAUUGUUGCAGGAGAAGAAGUUAGAAGAGUCAUGAUGAGAGAGUGAAGUCGAGCCUAGGAAAAAGAGAGCAAGCCAUUAGUGCAUGAAUCUGUCAACUGAAGUCCUUAAUGACACGUAAAUAUUUCCUCUGAAAGUUAUCCUCAUCUGACAUACAGUUCUACAUUAAGUUGUGACAUUUGAAAGAUUUCUUUUUUCAGCUGACUUCAUUAAAAGGAAGAAUUCAGAACUAUUGUUCCUGCAGGAGCAACGAGAGGAACAAUAUGUCAAAAAGUAAGUCCAGCAGACCAUGCAGAAGUUUGGGACCUGGAAAAUGUAGCGUAUGAGAGGCAAAGACAAUCGUGUGGUCUAGGCAGAAGAACAGAAGUCAAAGGCAAAUUUUAUUUGCAGUUUUUCAGUUUUUAAAUGGGAUACACAGCAAAGCCAGAAUGAGAACACUCCUAGAAAUGCACAGAGGAAAGGCAAAAGGCUAUAGUCAGAGCUUCAAGAAUGAGAAAAGAAGUUUCUCCAUAAAAAUGGUUAGACACAGGAGCAGGUUGUACAGACAGACUGCACUAUCCCAGUCCUUAGAGAUAAGUCACAACUCAGAUAGACAAAACCCUCAGCAGCUCAAUUUAACUUAGAAGUUUGUAAUCUCCCUGGGGUCCUUUUCAGGAGGCCAGAAUUGAUGACUUCAGGGUAUGAAGGGAUACCCCCCUUUUUUUUUAAUUUAUUGUUUGUUUGUUUUUGUGAUUCUAUUACCCAAAUGCAUUCUAUACAAACAGUAAUUCCUGUCACUGUCAGUGAACACUCAUACCAUGUAAAUAUACUAUUCUCCUCUAUCAUGCUAUUAGUAUAGCACUGAUGUUGUCAAAGAUGAGGUAAAGAGGAUUUAUCUGCAAGGAUUUAAUUUUCAUUGCUUUUCAUUAAAUUCAGUGUAUUUUCUCAUUCUCUGUAGUUAUGAAAAUGUACCCUGGAAUUACCUGGUAUGAUAACUCAAAAUGCCCUGUUCUAAACAUAUGUCACUAAACACUUCAGUUGUGAUACAGUAUUUCUUGGAAAGGAGACAUAUAAGUUCACCAUUUAAACUGACUAACUUCUCUAUACUACAGUCCUUGUACUUUAUGUUGAUGUGCCAUUUAUGUAAGAGAUAAACAAGUUCUGACUAUUUAGAUCAAUUAAGUCUCCAGUAACUUCCUGUUUGGCUCACAAGUAGAUCCAGAAGCCUAACUUUAGAAGACUUGCCACUUUUGUCUUUAAAUUCAAUCAAGGUCUUUACUGAAAAUAAUGUGCAUAAAAAGCACAGACAUGCAGAACUAGUGAAGUGUCAAAGUCUCUGGAACAAUAAUGUGAUUAAAGUUUUUGCUGAAUUAAGCUAACAUCCUAAUCCUUACACCUUAGCUAAGACUCUAGAUCUGUAAAUCUCAGUUCUAACAGUUUAAAAUGCCAUUUCCACUACUCACACAAGUAAACCAAAGCAGGAAGGAAAGUGAUUCUGCACUUCAUGCAAAAUUCUUAGAUCUUGUUGAUGCUAGCAAUCACUGCAGUGGAACAGUUAAUUAAUGGCAUAUAUUACUAAGUGUAUUCACAGACUGAUGCUAUAAAAAUUAUUUCUGGUUAAAACAGUACAUACUACAAAAUAUUUAUCAUAUUCAGCAAUCUAUUUUAACACCAGUAUUUCAGAUAUUAGGCCCCUAAAACCAUGGUUAUAUUUUGAAGAGCCUGAAAUUAUGCAAACUUAAAUUUACUAAAUAAGAGUAACUAGUUAACCUGGGUUUUUCCACUACAAUUGUCUCAAAUAAGAGAAUUGCCAUAGUUUGUUCUUACUAUAUAAGGACCGCAUAUCUUGUCUUUAUUAAUAAUAGUAAUGAAUAGAGAGAAAAAAA
ensembl:lncRNA